rnacentral:rRNA from 1 species
UACGUAGGGGGCUAGCGUUGUCCGGAUUUAUUGGGCGUAAAGAGCGUGUAGGCGGCCAGGUAGGUCUGCUGUGAAAACUCGAGGCUCAACCUCGAGACGUCGGCGGAAACCAUCUGGCUAGAGUCCGGAAGAGGAGAGUGGAAUUCCUGGUGUAGCGGUGAAAUGCGCAGAUAUCGGGAAGAACACCCGUGGCUAAGGCGGCUCUCUAGUACGGUACUGACGCUGAGACGCGAAAGCGUGGGGAGCGAACCGG